rnacentral:miRNA from 1 species
UAGGCUGCUAAUGCAAGC